UACGUAGGGUGCGAGCGUUGUCCGGAAUUAUUGGGCGUAAAGGGCUCGUAGGCGGUUUGUCGCGUCGGGAGUGAAAUCCACUGGCUUAACUGGUGGCUUGCUUUCGAUACGGGCAGACUGGAGGUAUGCAGGGGAGAACGGAAUUCCUGGUGUAGCGGUGAAAUGCGUAGAUAUCGGGAAGAACACCAGUGGCGAAAGCGGCUCUCUGGGGACCACCUGACGCUGAGGCGCGAAAGCGUGGGGAGCGAACCGG
rnacentral:rRNA from 1 species